rnacentral:rRNA from 1 species
UACGUAGGGUGCGAGCGUUGUCCGGAAUUACUGGGCGUAAAGAGCUCGUAGGUGGUUUGUCGCGUUGUUCGUGAAAACUCACAACUCAAUUGUGGGCGUGCGGGCGAUACGGGCAGACUGGAGUACUGCAGGGGAGACUGGAAUUCCUGGUGUAGCGGUGGAAUGCGCAGAUAUCAGGAGGAACACCGGUGGCGAAGGCGGGUCUCUGGGCAGUAACUGACGCUGAGGAGCGAAAGCAUGGGGAGCGAGCAGG